rnacentral:rRNA from 1 species
UACGAAGGGUGCUAGCGUUGUUCGGAUUUACUGGGCGUAAAGCGUGCGUAGGUGGCUUUACAAGUCAGGGGUGAAAUCCUGGGGCUCAACCCCAGAAUUGCCUUUGAAACUGUAAAGCUAGAGUAUCGGAGGGGAUAGCGGAAUUGCUAAUGUAGAGGUGAAAUUCGUAGAUAUUAGCAGGAACACCGGUGGCGAAGGCGGCUAUCUGGACGAUUACUGACACUCUGGCACGAAAGCGCGGGGAUCAAACAGG